GAAGCAAUUUUUAUUGUUACUUUUAUCACAAUAGUCCACAAAAUAUGGUAAGUCCAUAUUGCCUUUUACUAUGUGUAACAAAUUGAGUUUCACUUUCUGAAAUGAGUGAUGAAAAACAUUUAACUUUUUCAUGAUAUUAAAUUUUUUGCGAGGUACCUUGAUCCACAUUUAACACGUCACCUCUCAUUUUAAACACACACACACACACACACACACACACAGCAGGCAUUCUUGUCAUGUAGUACUAUGUGAUCUGACCCUAGCUGCUAUGCCCACAGCCCCUUAAUAUAGCCCACUGCUGUCAUGGUACUUUUUGCCCCCCUUCACCUGCUCUGCUCUGAGCGUCAGUACAUGUCCAUGUUUAUCCCAACCUGGCCGGGGGUUUUGGGGGUGUCUAUAUUGCGACUAGCUGUGAAAUAUUGUUACCAUCUUGUGUUAUUUCCCAAGUAAUCGUGACGCAGACAGUCUUUCGGUCAAAUGAGAUUCAUUCCCGUCUAACAGCCAUUUGUUUCUCCUUUUAUUUUUUAAGUCUUUUUGUUUUGAAAGGUCCAAUAUAAAGAUGAAAGAAACAGGCUGAUAAAGAGAAGAGGUUCUGGUCAUGUUUUGGCCACAGUCCCUUAUUGCAUUAGAGCUACUAUGGCUCAGUGAGAUAUCUUUGUCCUGGCCAUCAGCCAGAGGACAUGUACAGACAAACACGCACACACACACUGAGAAAAGCAAAGAGAUGCAGCAGAGACCCCUGCUCUCUGAGACGAAUCAUUUUGGGGACUGACUGGAAGCUGUGAGGACCUCUCUCUUUCUUUUUGCCGGCAUUCCAAGGAACUUUCACAUGUCCGCCUCUUCCUGUGUUUUGCUCUUUUUCUUGACAUGUCCUGGAAAACUGGAAUACUUUCCUUAAUUUUUCCAUAACAUUCAACAAAUGGGACUUUGAGGAGCCACUUGUGGUAAAACUCAAAGGUGGAAGACGCGGUGGAUUAUU